rnacentral:rRNA from 1 species
AUUGAACGCUGGCGGCAUGCUUUACACAUGCAAGUCGAACGGCAGCGCGGGCUUCGGCCUGGCGGCGAGUGGCGAACGGGUGAGUAAUGCAUCGGAACGUGCCCAGUAGUGGGGGAUAGCCCGGCGAAAGCCGGAUUAAUACCGCAUACGACCUGAGGGUGAAAGCGGGGGAUCGAAAGGCCUCGCGCUAUUGGAGCGGCCGAUGUCGGAUUAGCUAGUUGGUGGGGUAAAGGCUUACCAAGGCGACGAUCCGUAGCUGGUCUGAGAGGACGACCAGCCACACUGGGACUGAGACACGGCCCAGACUCCUACGGGAGGCAGCAGUGGGGAAUUUUGGACAAUGGGGGCAACCCUGAUCCAGCCAUGCCGCGUGCGGGAAGAAGGCCUUCGGGUUGUGAACCGCUUUUGUUCGGGAAGAAAUCCUCUGGGCUAAUACCCCGGGGGGAUGACGGUACCGGAAGAAUAAGCACCGGCUAACUACGUG